ensembl:lncRNA
UUUCUGUCUUCCUGAAGGGAAACUGUAAAGGGAAGAGGAGAAGCAACCUCUGCUCUGAAGCAGAGAGGGCUGCUCCCCUCUGUUCUUGCAGACUUCCCGCAUUCCUCUAUCCCACUGGCAGAGCUAUGGCCAGACGAGUUUCUGCCAUUUGGUCCUGCAUAUGAAUUUUCAGUGAAUGACACAUCAGAGAGAAUCCCCUGCAAGGCUGCAGAGCUGGAACCACUGCUCUCAGGCUGGCUACUGGCAGCACCCAGGAGAAAUCUCUGGGGCUGUGCUGCAGUCAGCACCCCAGUUGCAGAGGAUGGCAGCCAGCAAAUUAGUAGUAGCCCCUCGUCACCUGAGGGUUUUCAGUUUGCUAUAGGAUUGACAACAGCAGUAAAUAUUUUCUCACUGUAUUUAUGUGUUCUUUCCUUAUCCUCUUCAGUAGCUCUUGCUUCAGAAGAAAUGAUAGUGCUACUGGUACCCCAAUACCUCAUAUGAAUAAUUAACUUCUUGGGAAGUGUGGAUUUAGGGAACAGAUGGGUUUCACUCAGACCAUCUAUUUUCCUGCAUAACAGCUUCUGUUUGAUAGCAUAUUUUGUGCAAGCAGAAUUAAUCAGCUUGGUGCUGCUCUUCUGGUCAUGGGCAGCUAAACUCCCGCAUGACAUCCAUGCAAGGCACAGCAGCUUUGCUUAUGAAAGGUUAAUAAAAGCAAUCAUAUAACCAGAACUUCUUUAGAGAAAGAAAUAUUAAACAGUGAAUCAGCAACAACACCUCCCUAUAGCUGAGCAUUCCAUCAACCAUUAUUUUCUCCAAGCCAGAAAAUAAUCUGUUCUUUUUCUAUUAGGAGACUACUAUACCUUUCAACCAUAUCUCCUAAUUGCCAUCAACAGCAUUACUUUCCCACACAUCUAGGAACAAGCUCUGGAAUUCUGCACAGUGCCAAAGAUUUCUGGCAACAAAAACAAUCACGUAUGGAGGACUGGGAGGAGGGGAUAUUUUCACUGAAGAUCUCACCAGGAACCUAUCCCUGCUUCCUUCUAAUGAAACUUUCCUGAGAUGUUUUGAAACAAACAGAUUAAUUAUUAAGGAUACUUAACACACUGCACACCUCCACGACAAUUGUCAAAGCUAACAGCUAUUACCAAUUUACUCAAAAUAAGUCAACUUUCACAUAUCUGGGUAGUUGCUCCUUUAAACAGAGUUCUUAAAAGCAGAUGUCAGAUUCUUGAUGAAUCUUAUUUACUCUGGGCUACGAUAUCUGAAGUUAGAUGUUGAAUCUGACUCCUGUCAGAGUGAUUGAAGUCAUAACACCUUGUUCUACCUUCGGUUUGUGUACGCAACCAGCUCCACAAAACUCUGCUACUUGAAACACAACUAAAAACUACUUUAUGUGUUUACUCCUUGGCAUUCUUUUCUUUCUCUAAGAUGGACUCUACAAGUAAUCGUAACUGAAAGAAAGAAAGCAAAGAUUAAGUUUGCAAACAAUACUCAGAAGUCAGGAGAAAACAUUUAUUUUUAAAAUAAAAAUCCUUUGAAAAUUUGCCAACUAGUGUUUCAACUGUUAUGAUGGUGAUAAUGCAAAGAAGGCAUCUGAAGUUGUACUCAGAGCUAGAGCACUCAGAUAUGUAGCAUGGCAUGCAUGGAAUAUCCUGAGAGUAGAGUGAGGAAGAUCAGCCCAAGACCUAAGAGGGAUUUAAGUUUUACCACCCAUUUGGAAACUCAGGUGGGAUUUAGUCUCUUGAAUAAGAAUGCAAGUACCUUUGCUGAAGUGCACUAAGGUGUCUUCACCACUAUCUCUUUGAGUUUUCCAAAACAAUCUGCAGUCGUGUGCUGCUAGUCUGGGUUAAAAUCACUAUCUCCUUCAUCAGUUGAGUCUGCAUGUAAUGAGUGAU